UACGGGGGGGGCAAGCGUUGUUCGGAAUUACUGGGCGUAAAGGGCUCGUAGGUGGUCAACUAAGUCGGACGUGAAAUCCCUCGGCUUAACCGGGGAACUGCGUCCGAUACUGGAUGACUUGAGUUCGGGAGAGGGAUGCGGAAUUCCAGGUGUAGCGGUGAAAUGCGUAGAUAUCUGGAGGAACACCGGUGGCGAAGGCGACGUCCUGGACCGGCAUUGACGCUGAGGCGCGAAAGCGUGGGGAGCAAACAGG
rnacentral:rRNA from 1 species